rnacentral:rRNA from 1 species
AGUGAACGCUGGCGGUAGGCCUAACACAUGCAAGUCGAACGGCAGCACAGUAAGAGCUUGCUCUUACGGGUGGCGAGUGGCGGACGGGUGAGGAAUACAUCGGAAUCUACUUUUUCGUGGGGGAUAACGUAGGGAAACUUACGCUAAUACCGCAUACGACCUACGGGUGAAAGCAGGGGAUCUUCGGACCUUGCGCGAUUGAAUGAGCCGAUGUCGGAUUAGCUAGUUGGCGGGGUAAAGGCCCACCAAGGCGACGAUCCGUAGCUGGUCUGAGAGGAUGAUCAGCCACACUGGAACUGAGACAAGGUCCAGACUCCUAAGGGAGGCAGCAGUGGGGAAUAUUGGACAAUGGGCGCAAGCCUGAUCCAGCCAUAACGCGUGGGUGAAGAAGGCCUUCGGGUUGUAAAGCCCUUUUGUUGGGAAAGAAAAGCAGCAGGUUAAUACCCCGCUGUUCUGACGGUACCCAAAGAAUAAGCACCGGCUAACUUCGUG